rnacentral:rRNA from 1 species
GCUUUAUACCCACCUAGAGGAGCCUGUUCUAUAAUCGAUAAACCCCGAUACACCUCACCACUUCUUGCUAAUACAGCCUAUAUACCGCCAUCUUCAGCAAAC